GUUAUUAACGUCGGUUCAAACAUUAUGAUGUCGCUGAUAUGUCCGGGUCAAAGUUAAUAAGGCCGGGUCAAUGUAUUUGACGUCUCAAAGACAUGAUACGGAAUAAUAUUAAGAGCUGAACAGAGUGAUAUAGACAGUGGAACGACCGAUAAGACAUAUGUAAAACAAUUCAAACGAGAAAACUUAAGAUAUGUGCAUUGUUCAUCAUGUUCAUAUUGUAUAUGAAGAUUAAUAAGAUUAAAGUAAACAAUGUGGUAUGUUUCCAAAAUAAAAGCUAUCCACCAAUGACCAACUGAUGUCGAUGCAAUUACUAGCCAUACAAAUGAUACAUACAUGUUGGUCACCAUACUUCCUUCAUUUAUAUUAUGACUAUUGAGUAAAUUUUUGCAAACAUGGCAAACCUGUACAUGUACAUGCUGUUUAUAUACACCACAUCUUCCUAUAUCUAUAUAUUACUACAGUUCAAUGACUCAAGUUUUAAAUGCAUAAGCUUAAGGUCAUAACAGAAUUUAAACUAACUAUCAUAAUUGUAUGAACAUCAUGAUGAAUAUUUACAUUCUCUCAAAGAGUUUUAAUUUUACUUAGCUAAUACAGAAGAUGAUGGAUUCCCCAACAGAAAUCUUGAUGAUCGAACAAUUAAGGUGAAAAAAUUGAAGAAUUGCAUCAAUUGUUACAGAGAAUCGAUUUGCAAGCAGAAACAGGUGCUCAAAGAUAUGGGAAUACAACAGCCAUCCAUGAUCCUUUACAUGUAAAGUAAGUAGCUGUUCAUGAUGCUUAUAGGCAUAUACAAUCUAGUCUGGGCAUGUAAAACAGCAGCUGGUUCUAUUUUGAAAAUCUACAAAAUAGAGCUAAGGUCUUUUAAGCCAAGAAACUGCUAGUGUCUGAAGAGGACAAUUUAAGACAGGACAUGAAAAUUGAUUUAAUGUCAAGUUGGAACAGUGAUUCUGUAAAUAAACUCGCCUGAUCACAAGACCUCGGAUUUGACUGAAUCUUACAUGGAUAGACCAAAGUCAUUUACUAGACUGUAAAUACUAGAGGCAGCUGAAAGCACAAGGCACAAAGCUGAGGUCCAAGUAAAUCAGAGAGGCCUUGUCACAAGAAAUGUACAGAACUUGCAUGGUUUUUUUCCUUAAGGGUAUAUGACAAAAUAUUGAGAUAUAUGUCAAUGAAAAUUACUUUGAAUUUAAAAAAGGGCCAAUUCAAUGGUACACUUUUGGAAUUUGCAAGAACAAAAAUACCUUCAUGUUUACUUUUGAAUUAUAGUUGACAAUCUUCACUUUAAGGGGAACCUCUGAAAAUAAGUCCAAUGGAGGGGUUUGGUUUAUUGAAUUCAAUUAUUUUUUAAAGAAAAACAGAUGAAAUAUUGCUCUUUAAUUUCAACAUUUGCAUUUUGCUAUUAAAAUUAUUUACAAGUGCAGCAUAUCCAUGACAUCAGAUUAUGUUAUUGUGUUUGGUUAAGCUACAUAUUUCUUUUUACUUAAACUUUCUGUUGACUUUACUAGUUAAUAAAAUGCUGAAUAAUAAUUUGAGUGUGGCUCAUUCGAGUGUCUAGUAUUUACUGUCAAUUUUUUUGAUGAUUUUACCAUAUUAUUUAUAAUUACUUGGUCAAAGGGAGAUAACUUAUUGUAUUUUCACAUUAAAAUGCUGAAUAAUAAUUUGAGUGUGGCUCAUUCCAGUGUCUAGUAUUUCCUGUCAAUUUUUUUGAUGAUUUUACCAUAUUAUUUAUAAUCGCUUGCUCAAAGGGAGAUAACUUUUUGUAUUUUCACAUUAAAUCAUCUGCCAAGAGGAUUAUGUAAAAUGUGAAUUGUUGAAAACUAAUUUUAUGGUUCAAUAAAAUCAAAAUAAGUUACUGCCAUUCAUUAUAAAUAAAUUUCUAUCAAAAAUAAGGCUCAAAGAACUUUUUAUAUUACUAAUAUUAACAAUAACAAUGUACACACAUGUUGACGUGUUAAUACACAACGUCAGAGUGGGUGUGUCACCAUAAAAUGUAAACAUUGAAAAUAAAACUGAUACUUUUAACUAAUCAGGAGACAGUUAAUACACCAAAUAUAUUUUUAAACCUAUAAACUUAUUAUUUUCUUCAAAUUUUAAGGUGCCUUUGUUUGCUAUUUGUUAUAACCCUAUUGUUAUGAUUCUUAAACCAUCUAUACAAGUAAGCAUGUUGAUUUGUCACUUACCAUUAUUUUAUUGAUUUAAUAGUUUGAAUUUG